rnacentral:tRNA from 1 species
GCCCGGGUGGCGGAAUGGCAGACGCGAUGGACUCAAAAUCCAUUGUCCGCAAGGGCGUGCGGGUUCGAAUCCCGCCCCGGGCA